rnacentral:rRNA from 1 species
UACGUAGGGUGCAAGCGUUGUCCGGAAUUAUUGGCGUAAAGAGCUCGUAGGCGGCCUGUCACGUCGACUGUGAAAACCCAGGGCUCAACCCUGGGCCUGCAGUCGAUACGGGCAGGCUAGAGUGUGGUAGGGGAGACUGGAACUCCUGGUGUAGCGGUGAAAUGCGCAGAUAUCAGGAGGAACACCGGUGGCGAAGGCGGGUCUCUGGGCCAUAACUGACGCUGAGGAGCGAAAGCGUGGGGAGCGAACAGG